rnacentral:lncRNA from 1 species
GAGAACACUGUUUUCUCAUAUUUCUUUCUCGCAGACUCCUUUCUUCUUUCUUCUUCCACUUUCUCUUCUUUCCUUCUCUUCCCAUUUCCAUAAUCUUUUCUUCUUCUUCUUGAGCUGCUACGACAAAGCAACCCCUUCCUUGCGCCACUUCGAUUUCACACCACCUUCAGCUUUUCUGAUGCCGGAAACUCAACUUGAACAAACUCUCUAAACAUUCAUGCUUCCACCUGUUUCCGCCUUGCAACCAACAACUCACCUAUCGCCUCCCUUAAAUACCCAACCAAACAUGGUUCACCACCGUCGACGUCCGUAAUAAUGGCUGUGGUUCUAAGUGAUUUUGUAUGAUGACAAGGUUACUGCUUGUGAUAUGCAGUCUCCUACCUAAUUCUUUUUUUUUUCAAAACUUCUUUCUCUUUCUUUCAUAUUAAUUUAUUAUUAUUUUACUAGUUCUUUUUUUAUUUUUUAUUUUUAGUUUAUAUUGUGAUACAAUGUGUUUCAUUAAUUCUAAUUCUAUUUUUAUGUAUGUAUGUAUAAGAUCCAAGACUUUGAUGGC